UAAUGAACUAGAACGCUUUGGAAAUAGCGGCCAUAGAGGGUGAUAGUCCCGUAUAGGCAAAGAGCAUUUAGAUAGUGGUAUCCUGAGUAGUGCGGGGCACGUGAAACCCUGUAUGAAUCAGUCGGGACCAUCCGAUAAGGCUAAAUACUCCUGAGAGACCGAUAGUGAACUAGUACCGUGAGGGAAAGGUGA
rnacentral:rRNA from 1 species